rnacentral:rRNA from 1 species
UACGGGGGGGGCAAGCGUUGUUCGGAAUUACUGGGCGUAACGGGCUCGUAGGCGGCCAACUAAGUCAAACGUGAAAUCCCUCGGCUUAACCGGGGAACUGCGCUUGAUACUGGAUGGCUUGAGAUUGGGAGAGGGAUGCGGAAUUCCAGGUGUAGCGGUGAAAUGCGUAGAUAUCUGGAGGAACACCGGUGGCGAAGGCGGCAUCCUGGACCAACACUGACGCUGAGGAGCGAAAGCCAGGGGAGCAAACGGG